CAAGGUAAAUACUCAGGUACUGUAGACACCAUGUGUCCUCAUCAAGGUAAAUACUCAGGUACUGUAGACACCAUGUAGAUGUUCUUUAAAUCUACUACUAUUUAUUAUAAUGUUGUUGUAAUGUCUUCCACCUUCUCCCAGUUCAUCAUGUUGUUUAUUCCAGGUGGAAUGGUUUCAGUCUCAUCAUGUUGUUUAUUCCAGGUGGAAUGGUUUCAGUCCCAUAAUGUUGUUUAUUCCAGGUGGAAUGGUUUCAGUCCCGUAAUGUUGUUUAUUCCAGGUGGAAUGGUUUCAGUCCCAUAAUGUUUAUUCCAGGUGGAGUGGUUUCAGUCCCAUAAUGUUGUUUAUUCCAGGUUGAAUGGUUUCAGUCUCAUCAUGUUGUUUAUUCCAGGUGGAAUGGUUUCAGUCUCAUAAUGUUGUUUAUUCCAGGUGGAAUGGUUUCAGUCCCAUAAUGUUGUUUAUUCCAGGUGGAAUGGUUUCAGUCUCAUAAUGUUGUUUAUUCCAGGUGGAAUGGUUUCAGUCCCAUCAUGUUGUUUAUUCCAGGUGGAAUGGUUUCAGUCUCAUAAUGUUGUUUAUUCCAGGUGGAAUGGUUUCAGUCCCAUAAUGUUGUUUAUUCCAGGUGGAAUGGUUUCAGUCCCAUAAUGUUGUUUAUUCCAGGUGGAAUGGUUUCAGUCUCAUAAUGUUGUUUAUUCCAGGUGGAAUGGUUUCAGUCCCAUCAUGUUGUUUAUUCCAGGUGGAAUGGUUUCAGUCUCAUAAUGUUGUUUAUUCCAGGUGGAAUGGUUUCAGUCCCAUAAUGUUGUUUAUUCCAGGUGGAAUGGUUUCAGUCCCAUAAUGUUGUUUAUUCCAGGUGGAAUGGUUUCAGUCUCAUAAUGUUGUUUAUUCCAGGUGGAAUGGUUUCAGUCCCAUAAUGUUGUUUAUUCCAGGUGGAAUGGUUUCAGUCUCAUAAUGUUGUUUAUUCCAGGUGGAAUGGUUUCAGUCCCAUAAUGUUGUUUAUUCCAGGUGGAAUGGUUUCAGUCUCAUCAUGUUGUUUAUUCCAGGUGGAAUGGUUUCAGUCUCAUCAUGUUGUUUAUUCCAGGUGGAAUGGUUUCAGUCUCAUCAUGUUGUUUAUUCCAGGUGGAAUGGUUUCAGUCUCAUCAUGUUGUUUAUUCCAGGUGGAAUGGUUUCAGUCUCAUAAUGUUGUUUAUUCCAGGUGGAAUGGUUUCAGUCCCAUAAUGUUGUUUAUUCCAGGUGGAAUGGUUUCAGUCCCAUAAUGUUGUUUAUUCCAGGUGGAAUGGUUUCAGUCCCAUAAUGUUGUUUAUUCCAGGUGGAAUGGUUUCAGUCUCAUCAUGUUGUUUAUUCCAGGUGGAAUGGUUUCAGUCCCAUAAUGUUGUUUAUUCCAGGUGGAAUCGUUUCAGUCUCAUAAUGUUGUUUAUUCCAGUUGGAAUGGUUUCAGUCUCAUAAGGGCACUGCGUUCAUCCACCUCUG